AUUGAACGCUGGCGGCAGGCCUAACACAUGCAAGUCGAGCGAGCGGCGGACGGGUGAGUAAUGUAUGGGGACUGCCCGAUAGAGGGGGAUAACUACUGGAAACGGUGGCUAAUACCGCAUACUAUCGGAUAACCCAUAUGGGAUUAGCUAGUAGGUGGGGUAAAGGCUCACCUAGGCGACGAUCUCUAGCUGGUCUUAGAGGAUGAUCGGCCAGAUUGGUGCGGAGGCACGGCCCAGAGUCCUACGGGAGCAGCAUUUGGGAAUAUUGCACAAUGGGGGCAAGCCUGAUGCAGCCAUGCCGCGUGUAUGAAGAAGGCCUUAGGGUUAUAAAGUACUGUCAGCGGUGAUGCGUUACCCGCAGAAGAAGCACCGGCUAACUCCGUGCCAGCCACCGCGGUAAUAC
rnacentral:rRNA from 1 species